GCCCUGGCAUCGUGUUCGCUGACAGCUGGGACAGAUCAACAACCUGUGAAGAGCCGCCAUGUACAGCAUCCUGAUCCUCGCAUUGGUGGGCAGUGCCCUCGCCAGAUACGACGAGCACCAUCUCCCCCCAAAAUUCUUCGAUUUCUGCAAGAAAUGCAUCGAAGAGAGAAACGGCGUGGGCUACUAC